AGAGUUUGAUCCUGGCUCAGGAUGAACGCUGGCGGCAUGCCUAAUACAUGCAAGUCGAACGAGAGGAAGGAAAGCUUGCUUUCCUGAAUCUAGUGGCGAACGGGUGAGUAACACGUAGGUAACCUGCCCAUGUGCCCGGGAUAACUUCUGGAAACGGAUGCUAAAACCGGAUAGGUAGCAGACAAGCAUUUGACUGCUAUUAAAGUGGCCUUGGCCAUGAACAUGGAUGGACCUGCGGUGCAUUAGCUGGUUGGUGAGGUAACGGCCCACCAAGGCGACGAUGCAUAGCCGGCCUGAGAGGGCGGACGGCCACAUUGGGACUGAGACACGGCCCAAACUCCUACGGGAGGCAGCAGUAGGGAAUUUUCGUCAAUGGGGGGAACCCUGAACGAGCAAUGCCGCGUGAGUGAGGAAGGUCUUCGGAUCGUAAAGCUCUGUUGUAAGAGAAAAACGGCACUCAUAGGGAAUGAUGAGUGAGUGAUGGUAUCUUACCAGAAAGUCACGGCUAACUACGUGCCAGCAGCCGCGGUAAUACGUAGGUGGCGAGCGUUAUCCGGAAUGAUUGGGCGUAAAGGGUGCGUAGGUGGCAGAUCAAGUCUGGAGUAAAAGGUAUGGGCUCAACCCGUACUGGCUCUGGAAACUGAUCAGCUAGAGAACAGAAGAGGACGGCGGAACUCCAUGUGUAGCGGUAAAAUGCGUAGAUAUAUGGAAGAACACCGGUGGCGAAGGCGGCCGUCUGGUCUGGAUUCUGACACUGAAGCACGAAAGCGUGGGGAGCAAAUAGGAUUAGAUACCCUAGUAGUCCACGCCGUAAACGAUGAGAACUAGGUGUUGGGGGAAUAACUCAGUGCCGCAGUUAACGCAGUAAGUUCUCCGCCUGGGGAGUAUGCACGCAAGUGUGAAACUCAAAGGAAUUGACGGGGGCCCGCACAAGCGGUGGAGUAUGUGGUUUAA
rnacentral:rRNA from 1 species